GGUAUUCUGUGACUCAACAGUCUGAAUUAUAUAGAGAAUAUUACACUAUCUACAGUUUAUUUCGAGUGUUGAAGACUUGAAGAGAAUAUUGCUCACAAGUGAGCGCAAUUCUGUUUAUUAUAUGAACAAAUUAUAAGCAAACGACAAUUCUUAAUGUUAAUUCGUUUACAUCCAAUUUAAUACUUCCAAGUUCCAACAAAGUGAAAGCCUCGUGCUGUGUAACUGAAAUUUGGACUGCGAUUAACAGAAGUUUUAAAAAAAAAAGCCAAAACAUUGGAGAAUGAGGAUGAAUCAUGAACUCAUACUUGGUAUGUAUAGAG